rnacentral:rRNA from 1 species
GACGAACGCUGGCGGCGUGCCUAAUACAUGCAAGUAGGACGCACAGUCUAUACCGUAGCUUGCUACACCAUAGGCUGUGAGUUGCGAACGGGUGAGUAACGCGUAGGUAACCUGCCUAUUAGAGGGGGAUAACUAUUGGAAACGAUAGCUAAUACCGCAUAACAGUAUGUAACACAUGUUAGAUGCUUGAAAGAUGCAAUUGCAUCGCUAGUAGAUGGACCUGCGUUGUAUUAGCUAGUAGGUAGGGUAAUGGCCUACCUAGGCGACGAUACAUAGCCGACCUGAGAGGGUGAUCGGCCACACUGGGACUGAGACACGGCCCAGACUCCUACGGGAGGCAGCAGUAGGGAAUCUUCGGCAAUGGGGGGAACCCUGACCGAGCAACGCCGCGUGAGUGAAGAAGGUUUUCGGAUCGUAAAGCUCUGUUGUUAAGGAAGAACGAGUGUGAGAAUGGAAAGUUCA